rnacentral:lncRNA from 1 species
GUUAGUCAAACCAUCCUCGUCUGUGUCGGGGAGGCGUUCUCCUCUAAUUCAAGCCACGAUCAGCAGUGGAAAUUCUGUUUGACUCAGCUGCGCAGCCUUUAGCCCCCUGUGGCUGCAGCCCGCAGUGGUGGUCUGGCCCUUCACAGCCUCGGUUCAGGGAGAACCAAUGUGCAAAAGUGAUGGAGCGACCUCUGGGGUCCCCUGGACGCGGGUCCUGCCAGAGGUUCCUCACCAGACGAGGAAUAACGGCGGCUCUCCCAGGCUCCCGCUGGCUCGCCAUUUAGGCGAAAGAAAACUUCGCCGUCGGCUGCGUGAGUGUGGCUACGGCAACAUCUGGUGGUUCAAUCCAGAUGUGGGUCCAGAUUAUAAAACUGUCACAGAUUCCAGUUGAAACUCGUCAAGCUUUGAUCUUUCUCCUACGCCGUCCGCCGUCCACGUUUGCUGCUCUUCCUCCAGCACCAUGUUGACAUGACAACAGGGUCUGAGGCAGCUGAGGCCUCAACAGACGGACCGUUCAGGGUGAUCUCUUCAGGAGAUCUGCUCCUAAAUGGGUUUGUCUCCCACACUUCCAACACAGUUCUAAUCUGAUGAAGACAGAUGAGUCUGCAAUUGUCCCCCGACCAUUUGUCAUUGCGACGUGCGUUUUUGUUAUCAGCAGUGACAGAUUGCGCCACAUUUGGGAGCUCACUUCAAAGCAGAAGCUUCGCUCAAAGCAGUGUGAGCCCCUCAGAGUGGAAGCA